AUAGAUUAUUCGGUUGGAUCCACGAGCUGGCCUUACAUCUCGCUCAUGUACGUUACAUCAUCAUAUCAUUAGGUGCUAGGUAUCUGCGAUUUACUACACAACCUCCUACUUAUGGCUGAAUGUUACAUUGCUACAUAUCCUGUUAGGCAGAACAGGAUAUCUACUUUUACAUAACAUACCACAAUUCCUACUAUAUCUCAUUGCCCCUGUAGGUCUGUGCCAAUCCACCUUCUGUGUCAUAC